AAAAAAAAAAAACAACCAUCGUACAUGUGCUGACCAGCGAAGAGAUGAGAGACCCAAAUAGCGAAAAGGUUGUGCUGUUCUCAUGGUCAAUGUGAGAGAGGAAACACGCAGACCACAAAAUUGCAGACAAAGGGUCCAAGGAAGGAAAUGAAAACUGGAGGAUUAGAAACUUGAAUAGGAUGAUUGGAAAUGAACAAUGGGAAAG